rnacentral:rRNA from 1 species
AGAAAGGUUACUUCGGUUACAUCGGUGACAGGUGGUGCAUGGUUGUCGUCAGCCCGUGUCGUGAGAUGUUGGGUUAAGUCCCGCAACGAGCGCAACCCCUAUUGUUAGUUGCCAUCAUUCAGUUGGGCACUCUAGCGAGACUGCCGGUAAUAAACCGGAGGAAGGUGGGGAUGACGUCAAAUCAUCAUGCCCCUUAUGACCUGGGCUACACACGUGCUACAAUGGUUGGUACAACGAGUUGCGAGUCGGUGACGGCGAGCUAAUCUCUUAAAGCCAAUCUCAGUUCGGAUUGUAGGCUGCAACUCGCCUACAUGAAGUCGGAAUCGCUAGUAAUCGCGGAUCAGCACGCCGCGGUGAAUACGUUCCCGGGCCUU